rnacentral:rRNA from 1 species
GACGAACGCUGGCGGCGUGCUUAACACAUGCAAGUCGAACGGUAAGGCCCUUCGGGGUACACGAGUGGCGAACGGGUGAGUAACACGUGGGUGAUCUGCCCUGCACUUCGGGAUAAGCCUGGGAAACUGGGUCUAAUACCGGAUAGGACCACUGCCUGCAUGGGUGGUGGUGGAAAGCUUUUGCGGUGUGGGAUGGGCCCGCGGCCUAUCAGCUUGUUGGUGGGGUGCUGGCCUACCAAGGCGACGACGGGUAGCCGGCCUGAGAGGGUGACCGGCCACACUGGGACUGAGAUACGGCCCAGACUCCUACGGGAGGCAGCAGUGGGGUAUAUUGCACAAUGGGCGCAAGCCUGAUGCAGCGACGCCGCGUGAGGGAUGACGGCCUUCGGGUUGUAAACCUCUUUCAGCACCGACGAAGCGCAAGUGACGGUAGGUGCAGAAGAAGGACCGGCCAACUACGUGCCAGCCGCCGCCGUAA